UACGUAGGGUGCGAGCGUUAAUCGGAAUUACUGGGCGUAAAGCGUGCGCAGGCGGGCUUUUAAGCCAGACGUGAAAUCCCCGGGCUUAACCUGGGAAUGGCGUUUGGGACUGGAAGUCUGGAGUGCGGCAGAGGAGACUGGAAUUCCUGGUGUAGCAGUGAAAUGCGUAGAUAUCGUAAGGAAGACCAGUGGCGAAGGCGGGUCUCUGGACAGUUCCUGACGCUGAGGCACGAAGGUCAGGGGAGCAAACGGG
rnacentral:rRNA from 1 species